ACUCAAAGGAAUUGACGGGGACCCGCACAAGCAGCGGAGCGUGUGGUUUAAUUCGAUGCUACACGAAGAACCUUACCCAGGUUUGACAUAUAGGUGGUAGUGAACUGAAAAGGGAACGACCCGCAAGGGAGCCUAUACAGGUGUUGCAUGGCUGUCGUCAGCUCGUGUCGUGAGAUGUUGGUUUAAGUACCCUAACGAGCGCAACCCUUACUGCCAGUUACAAGUGUCUGGCGGGACUGCCGGCCACAAGCCGGAGGAAGGCGAGGAUGACGUCAAGUCAGCAUGGCCUUUAUAUCUGGGGCUACACACACGCUACAAUGGGACGGCACAAUGGGUAGCCAAGCCGUGAGGCGGAGCCAAUCCUCAAAACGUCCCUCAGUUCAGAUUGCAGGCUGCAACCCGCCUGCAUGAAGUCGGAGUUGCUAGUAAACGCGCGUCAGCUAUAGUGCGUUGAAUACGUUCCCGGGUCUUGUACACACCGCCCGU
rnacentral:rRNA from 1 species